rnacentral:rRNA from 1 species
UACGUAGGGGGCAAGCGUUGUCCGGAUUUAUUGGGCGUAAAGAGCGUGUAGGCGGCCAUACAGGUCCGUUGUGAAAACUGGAGGCUUAACCUCCAGACGUCGAUGGAAACCGUAUGGCUAGAGUCCGGAAGAGGAGAGUGGAAUUCCUGGUGUAGCGGUGAAAUGCGCAGAUAUCAGGAAGAACACCCGUGGCGAAGGCGCUCUACUGGGCCAUAACUGACACUGAUGGACGAAAGCUAGGGGAGCGAAAGGG